GAUGAAGAACGUAGCAAAAUGCGAUAAGUAAUGUGAAUUGCAGAAUUCAGUGAAUCAUCGAAUCUUUGAACGCACGUUGCGCCCGCUGGUAUUCCGGCGGGCAUGCCUGUUCGAGCGUCAUUUCAACCCUCAAGCCCCCGGGUUUGGUGUUGGGGAUCGGCUCUGCCCUUCUGGGCGGUGCCGCCCCCGAAAUACAUUGGCGGUCUCGCUGCAGCCUCCAUUGCGUAGUAGCUAACACCUCGCAACUGGAACGCGGCGCGGCCAUGCCGUAAAACCCCAACUUCUGAAUGUUGACCUCGGAUCAGGUAGGAAUACCCGCUGAACUUAAGCAUAUCAAUAAGCGGAGGA
rnacentral:misc_RNA from 1 species